AUCAGUAUUUUUAAUUCGGGUGCUCAUGUUGAGCCAAACAGGGAAUCCCUUGAAAAUAGGGAACGGGCCCGCCGCUGUAAUCCCGCCCUUUUCGUGAUGAAAAGGAACCCUUUUAGCCUCGCGCGUCACUGUUUCAAUCAGGAAUGGGAAGGCCGCUAAAAGGGUGGGUAAGUCAGAAGACCUGCCUGAAGGAAAGAUGCAUC
rnacentral:ncRNA from 2 species